rnacentral:rRNA from 1 species
UACGUAGGGGGCAAGCGUUGUCCGGAAUCAUUGGGCGUAAAGGGCGCGUAGGCGGCUUUGCAAGUGACGGGUGAAAUCCCUCGGCUUAACCGAGGAACUGCCUGUCAAACUGCAUGGCUUGAGACCGGGAGAGGUGAGUGGAAUUCCCAGUGUAGCGGUGAAAUGCGUAGAUGUUGGGAGGAACACCAGUGGCGAAGGCGGCUCACUGGACCGGUACUGACGCUGAUGCGCGAAAGCGUGGGGAGCAAACAGG